GAGUUUGAUCAUGGCUCAGAGCGAACGCUGGCGGCAGGCCUAUCACAUGCAAGUCGAGCGCCCGUAGCAAUACGGGAGCGGCAGACGGGAGAGUAACACGUGGGAACGCGCCCUUCGGUUCGGAAUAACUCAGGGAAACUUGAGCUAAUACCGGAUACGCCCUUACGGGGAAAGAUUUAUUGCCGAAGGAACGGCCCGCGUCCGAUUAGCUUGUUGGUGAGGUAAUGGCUCACCAAGGCGACGAUCGGUAGCUGGUCUGAGAGGAUGACCAGCCUCACUGGGACUGAGACACGGCCCAGACUCCUACGGGAGGCAGCAGUGGGGAAUAUUGGACAAUGGGCGCAAGCCUGAUCCAGCCAUGCCGCGUGGGUGAUGAAGGCCCUAGGGUUGUAAAGCCCUUUCGGCGGGGAAGAUAAUGACGGUACCCGCAGAAGAAGCCCCGGCUAACUUCGUGCCAGCAGCCGCGGUAAUACGAAGGGGGCUAGCGUUGCUCGGAAUUACUGGGCGUAAAGCGCACGUAGGCGGCUUGUUAAGUCGGGGGUGAAAUCCUGGAGCUCAACUCCAGAACUGCCUUCGAUACUGGCGAGCUCGAGUUCGGGAGAGGUGAGUGGAACUGCGAGUGUAGAGGUGAAAUUCGUAGAUAUUCGCA
rnacentral:rRNA from 1 species